UACGGGGGGGGCAAGCGUUGUUCGGAAUUACUGGGCGUAAAGGGCUUGUAGGUGGCCAACUAAGUCAGACGUGAAAUCCCUCAGCUUAACUGGGGAACUGCGUCUGAUACUGGAUGGCUUGAGUUUGGGAGAGGGAUGCGGAAUUCCAGGUGUAGCGGUGAAAUGCGUAGAUAUCAGGAGGAACACCGGUGGCGAAGGCGGGUCUCUGGGCCGUAACUGACGCUGAGGAGCGAAAGCGUGGGGAGCGAACAGG
rnacentral:rRNA from 1 species